rnacentral:rRNA from 1 species
UACGGAGGGUGCGAGCGUUGUCCGGAAUCACUGGGCGUAAAGGGCGCGUAGGCGGCUCGAUAAGGCUGUGGUGAAAGCCCGGGGGCUCAACCCCCGGGUCGGCCGUGGCGACUGUCGGGCUGGAGCACUGUAGAGGCGGGCGGAAUUCCGGGUGUAGCGGUGGAAUGCGUAGAGAUCCGGAAGAACACCGGUGGCGAAGGCGGCCCGCUGGGCAGGAAGGUUUCCUUUUACGGGAAACCGGCUGACGCUGAGGCGCGACAGCGUGGGGAGCAAACAGG